AUAUAGAUCUUUCGAUUUGGGGGGAAAUAGGAACCGAACUUCUAUUUCAUGGAUAUAUGGACCGUGGUAUAAGUUUGGGCUCUAUCUGUUAUGAUGUCAUAGUUCUCGGGGGAAAUAGACUGUUUUCCUCUCGUAUUUGCUAUGUGAUCUUAACUUUGGACUUUUGGUUGGUUUAAUGAUAUUUUCAGGUUGUUUCUGGAAGGACUAAAUAAGUUUGGGAAAGGAGACUGGAAGAACAUAUCGAGGUAUUGUGUGAAGUCAAGGACCUCGACGCAAGUGGCAAGCCAUGCUCAGAAGUAUUUUGCAAGGCAAAAGCAGGAGAGUACGAAUACUAAACGCCCGAGUAUUCAUGACAUGACUCUGGGAGUUGCGGUCAAUGUCCCUGGAUCCAACUUGGAGUCUACUGGCCAGCAACCACAUUUUGGUGAUCAAAUUCCUUCGAAUCAAUAUUAUCCCUCCCAGGAAAACUUUCGGGGUUUUGAUCAGCGAUGGUGAUGGGUGUAUGGCAAACUUAUACUACGCUUAAGUUUUCUAAUGUGAUUUUUAGUUCUAGGGAUUUAGAGUUUUGGUGUUAGAGUGUU
rnacentral:sRNA from 1 species